rnacentral:lncRNA from 1 species
AUGCUCACCAUGUGCCCGUCCUCAGGUCGGGGCACCAAGCCCAUCGUGGGCUUCCUCCUCCACUUGGGGCAGCUGCUCUCCACCUGUGUGCCCUUCUCCCUGGGGGCCAGUGAGGACACUCUGAAGGGGGACGUAAUUAACUGGUGCAUGUUCAUCUGGUGCAUCUGCUUCACCGUGACCCUCACCGUCUUCAUAGGGGAGUUUUGUGGGCUCUGCUCCUGCCUCCUUUUCUCCUGGGACGGCUUUCUCUGCACCCACACCUUUUACUUCUCCAUCUCCUGCCUCUGAACGUCCAUCAUCCUCGGCACCACCUACAUCAAGUUCUUUCUCCAGGCUCCACCAGAAACUGGGUCAUCACUGCCACUGCAUUCGCCUUCGUGGCUGCUGCACUGUAUCCACUGAAGCGUUCUGCAUCAUAUCCAGCCUGGAGGCAUGGUCGGUUCAAGCCAGCCUUCCCAGGCCUGCUCAGGAGGCCAGAGAACUAUGCUGACUGGCUCAUCAUCGCCUUCAUCAGCAGCCCCCACCAGUGUCAGCAACAGCCAGCCGUACAUUCGUGGUGGUGGACUUCGUAUGCUUCCUCCUGGAAGGCACUGUGAACUUCAUAGUGAAGGGGUUUGAUCGAGUCAAAGACAAAAAGCUCUGUUCCCUACCUGUGUCCUGUCUGAGCAGACGGUGCUCUCUGUGCUCCUCUGCCCUAGUGCUCUGGUCCUCUGUCAGCUCCACCAGUUCAACAAGAAGCUGGAUGGGCAGCCCCAGCGGUCCAGUGACGUGAGCUGCAGCAACAGACGCACCUGCUCGGUGUGCGCCGGGGACCAGCGGCUGGCUGUGGCCGUCCUAUCCAGCUGCUGCUUGAUGAGGCCGACACUGAGCACCUGGCCUGUGAGGCUAUCGUAGGCUAUUGUAGGGACUAAGAGUCUUGAAGACUGCUGUCUGCAGUGUUGGUGAGGGGCAGUGGUGUGGCCGUCCUGCCUUAAUGAUCAAAACAGCAGGUCCUGCCUCUGCAGGGAGAAGGGCAUCGCCACUGCCAGCAUUAAAGGGGAUGUUAGUCUGGGUGUUUUAUUUUUCUUUAAAUUUUGUUGUCCCAAGAGUAAAAAUUACUGGGCAACUAUAUUUUUACAUGGAAAAUUUCUUUUCAAAACUUUGUUGAUGGGUGGUGUUGGAUGGGUGGGCACUGCUGAUGCCACAGUCGAGGAAACUGUGUUGCUUGAGUUUGUGCUGCACAGACAUGUGUUUCUAUGUGUCAGCUGUUUUCUGAUGCUGCUUCCUGCUUCUCCAGGAUCCACACAUAAUAUGAUCUAGAUAAAUGUAAAUAUACAUGGAUUUUUUAAUUCUCUGGAAUUU